rnacentral:rRNA from 1 species
ACACCGGCAGCUCAAGUGGUAGCCGCUUUUAUUGGGCCUAAAGCGUCCGUAGCCGGUCUGAUAAGUCUCUGGUGAAAUCCCACAGCUUAACUGUGGGAAUUGCUGGAGAUACUAUCAUGACUCGAGGUCGGGAGAGGCUGGAGGUACUCCCAGGGUAGGGGUGAAAUCCUGUAAUCCUGGGAGGACCACCUGUGGCGAAGGCGACCAGCUGGAACGAACCUGACGGUGAGGGACGAAAGCCAGGGGCGCGAACCGGAUUAGAUACCCGGGUAGUCCUGGCCGUAAACGAUGUGGACUUGGUGUUGGGAUGGCUUCGAGCUGCCCCAGUGCCGAAGGGAAGCUGUUAAGUCCACCGCCUGGGAAGUACGGCCGCAAGGCUGAAACUUAAAGGAAUUGGCGGGG